ensembl:ncRNA T08A9.16 ncRNA
CUUUGCGCAGAAGGCUCCCCUCCCAGUGCGACCAUGAAGGGAAAGCGUAAAAAAAAACGACAGACGGCGAAAAGCAGAGCAAAGGGUCCUCCUGUAGUAAAAGAAGCCAGUCGAUUUGGAAGCACUUUUCAACGAAUUCUUUCUUCCGGAAGUUGAA